GCGUGGUGGUGGGCACCUGUAGUGCCAGCUACUCUGGAGGCUGAGGCAGGAGAAUGACGUGAACCCAGGAGGUGGAGCUUGCAGUGAGCCGAGAUGGUGCCACUGCACUCCAGCCUGGGUGGCAGUGCCAGACUCUGUCUCAAAAAAACCAAAAAAACAAAAACAAAAACAAAACUUGAUAAGAAAUUCCUCCUAUCUGCCAAGCUUUUACUGUUCCUUCUCUUUCAGUCACAUCUACAGGUUUUCUUGGUGAAAUUGUAAAGGGCAAGAACGAGGAGCCCACUCAUCGCCCCAACCCUGCUCCUUCACUCCUGCACAGACCCCUCCCCACCAAGGAGGAAAAGAGGGAGUUGGCUCACGCCAACAGGAAUUGGCCCCUAAAAUUUUUGUUGUCUCGAUCCAGGUGUAGGCCUUGUCCAGCACAGCACUCCUUAACAUAAGAAAUGGCAAUAUUAAUAAGGGCAGCAGCUCAGGGGGUUGUCUUUACUAACGUGCUCAAUACCAUACUAGGCACCUGCCAUGCAUAUGCUGCUCACAAUGAUUCUGUGAGUAAGCAACAGCAUCCUUAUCUUACAGGGGAGGACGCUGGGUGUCCAAGAGCAGAAGUCGUGCCCAAGGUCACACAGCAAGGAGUACCAGACCCAUGACUCACAGCCCAGGGUUCCAAGCAGGGCUGCCCUGUGGCUUUCCCCAGGCUCAUCCCCAAAGUGGCUCAGAAUCUGGUCCACUCCCCCUGCUGGUCCUUGACUUGUCCAUUUUAGACGCUCUGGAUUGAUUCCCCACUUUCUAAGGUGAGAACUUAACUUGGACGUCACUAUCUGCAUGCAUGCAGCUUCCCCUCCCCAGGCCCCCAGUGAAGGAGGGGUGCGUUUUCAGUUGGAGUCAAGAUAGACCUGCUGGCUGCCAGCUCUGCUCCAGAAUGUCAACUCCUCUGCAGUUUUGUUCUUCCCCUUCUCCUUCCUCUCUCCUAGAAAGCCUGUUUUUGCCUUUGCUCACUGACAAUGGUCUAAUGGCUCUCACAGUAAGUAAACUCUUUUACAGAAGGAAUAAUUCCACAUCUCCACCUUAUUCGUUGACUCAGAUGGCUAAUUUAUUUAUGACAAUAUAAAUAUUGCCCACAGCUGAGCUGCUGUACAUGUCCUAUGAUUACCUUUCUUUUCCUUUCUUUUUUUUCUUUCUUUCUUUUUUUUGGGGGGGAGGGAGACCAAGUCUCACUCUGUGGCCCAGGCUGGAGUGCAGUGGCACAAUCUUAGCUUGCUGCAACCUCUGUCUCCUGGUUUCAAGUGAUUCUCCUGCCUCAGCUUCUCAAGUAGCUGAGAUUACAGGCAUGCACCACCACACCCAGCUAAUUUUUGUAUUUUCAGUGAAGACAGAGUUUCACCAUAUUGGCCAGGCUGGUCUCGAACUCCUGACCUCAAAUGAUCCACCUGCCUUGGUCUCCCAAAGUGACUGGAUAACAGGCAUGAGCCACCACACCUGGCCUACCUUUCUUUUCUCAGUAAUGUCCUUUGUUUCCCUGGAGUUGGUAACUCCUCCCUCUAGACCUCCAAGCAGCUGUCACUGGGGAAGUCCUUCACCAUCAUGCUGAGAAUGUCCAUCUUCCCCUCUGCUGAGAGGGGUCCUGUUCUUCACUACCCGUGGUUUUUUUGGUGGCAUUACGUACAUGCACAAGCACCACUAUCUAUAUCCAAAACUUUUUUAUGGCCCCAGAAAGAAAUUCUGUACCCCAUUAAUCAAUAACGGCUGCCUGUGCUAACCUCUAUUUUACUCUCUAACUCUGUGAAUUUGCCUCUUCUACUUCCCUCAGGUAAGGGAAAUUGUACAAUAUUUGUCUCUAUAUGACUGUCUUAUUUCACUUAGCAUAAUAUCUUUCCACCUUUGGCUAUUGUGAAUAUGCUGUUCUGAAUGUUGGGGCACAAGUAUCUGUUCACAUCCCUGUUUCAGUUCUAUGGAAUUGUUAGGGUUUUCUACAUAUAAGAUCGGGUUAUCUGUGAACAGAGACAAUCUUAUGCUCUCCUUCCCACUGUGGAUACUUCUAUUUCUUUUUCUUGUCUAAGUGCUCUGGCUAGUUCUCCUGGUGCUAUGUUGAAGAGAAGUUUUAGUCAAGUGCUUUUUCUGCAUCAAUUGAGAUGACCAUUAAGUUUUAUUAUUCAUUCCUUUAGUGUGGAACUACCAUUGCACUCCAAAAAUAAAUCCCACUUGGUUAUGGUGAAUAAACUUUUCAUGUGCCAUUGGGUUCAAUUUGCAUACAUAAGACAUAUUGGUGUGUAAUUUUCUCUCCUUGUGACAUCUUUAUUGUGAUUUUGUAUUAGUGUAAUGCUGACUUCAUGAAUGAGUUAGGAAGUGUUCUUUCCUCUUUGAUUUUUGGGAAGAGUUUCAGAAGAAUUGGUGUUCAU
rnacentral:lncRNA from 1 species